CAGCCGCCGCGGUAAUACGAAGGGUGCAAGCGUUAAUCGGAAUUACUGGGCGUAAAGCGUGCGUAGGCGGUGAGUUAAGUCUGCUGUGAAAUCCCCGGGCUCAACCUGGGAAUGGCAGUGGAUACUGGCUCGCUAGAGUGUGUCAGAGGAUGGUGGAAUUCCCGGUGUAGCGGUGAAAUGCGUAGAGAUCGGGAGGAACAUCAGUGUCGAAGGCGGCCAUCUGGGACAACACUGACGCUGAGGCACGAAAGCGUGGGGAGCAAACAGGAUUAGAGACCCCGGUAGUCCCUGUCUCUUAUAC
rnacentral:rRNA from 1 species